rnacentral:rRNA from 1 species
AGUGAACGCUGGCGAUAGGCCUAACACAUGCAAGUCGAACGGCAGCACAGUAAGAGCUUGCUCUUACGGGUGGCGAGUGGCGGACGGGUGAGGAAUACAUCGGAAUCUACUUUUUCGUGGGGGAUAACGUAGGGAAACUUACGCUAAUACCGCAUACGACCUACGGGUGAAAGCAGGGGAUCUUCGGACCUUGCGCGAUUGAAUGAGCCGAUGUCGGAUUAGCUAGUUGGCGGGGUAAAGGCCCACCAAGGCGACGAUCCGUAGCUGGUCUGAGAGGAUGAUCAGCCACACUGGAACUGAGACACGGUCCAGACUCCUACGGGAGGCAGCAGUGGGGAAUAUUGGACAAUGGGCGCAAGCCUGAUCCAGCCACCGCGUGGGUGAAGAAGGCCUUCGGGUUGUAAAGCCCUUUUGUUGGGAAAGAAAAGCAGCAGGUUAAUACCCCGCUGUUCUGACGGUACCCAAAGAAUAAGCACCGGCUAACUUCGUG